rnacentral:rRNA from 1 species
CCUACGGGAGGCAGCAGUCGAGAAUCAUUCACAAUGGGGGAAACCCUGAAGCAGCAACGCCGCGUGGGUGAAGAAGGGUUUCGGCUCGUAAAGCUCUGUUGGUAGUGAAGAAGGAAAGAGGUAUUAACUGUCUUUUAUUUGACGGUAAUUCCUUAGAAAGCAACGGCUAACUACGUGCCAGCAGCCGCGGUAAUACGUAGGUGGCAAGCGUUGUCCGGAUUUAUUGGGCGUAAAGCGAGUGCAGGCGGUUCAAUAAGUCUGAUGUGAAAGCCUUCGGCUCAACCGGAGAAUUGCAUCAGAAACUGUUGAACUUGAGUGCAGAAGAGGAGAGUGGAACUCCAUGUGUAGCGGUGGAAUGCGUAGAUAUAUGGAAGAACACCAGUGGCGAAGGCGGCUCUCUGGUCGGCAACUGACGCUGAGGCUCGAAAGCAUGGGUAGCGAACAGGAUUAGAUACCCUAGUAGUC